AACGAGUGCAAAUGGGUCUCUGU
rnacentral:siRNA from 1 species